rnacentral:RNase_P_RNA from 1 species
CGAGCAGUCCAAACGAUCGCUGGUUCAAAUACUUGAUCCAGAGGAAAGUCCGAACACCACAGGGCAGGGUGCUCCAUAACGUGGAGUCGCGGCAACGUGAAGGAAAGUGCAACAGAAAAUAAACCGCCUCGCAUUAGGCGGGGUAAGGGUGAAAAGGUGCGGUAAGAGCGCACCAGUUCCCCGGGCGACCGGGGAUGCUUUGUAAACCCCACCCGGUGCAAGACCAAAUAGUGGAGCGUUUGAGAAUGACCCGUUCGAGCUCCUGGGUAGGUCGCAAGAGAUGACGGGCAACCGGCAUCCUUAGAUGAAUGAUCGUUAUCCGUUUUGAGGCAACUCGUUGCGGACACAGAAUUCGGCUUAUGGACUGCUCGAGCC